CAGACUCAGUAAUGUAAUGGUUCCUUAACAAGUAAUUUUUGAUUAAAUUGAUUGUGUUUGUUUGGUUCUAGGGUUUUAUUUUGAUGGGUGAUCAUUGAUUUGUAUGCUCGAUUGAGCCUUUAAAUUGUUGAAAAGUUUUGCUUUGAAGAUUGGUUUGAGUGUUUCUGAGAGCUGCAGGCCUUAUAUAUCACCGAGGCAAGCAUGCCCUAUACAGAAGAAAUCAAUGAAAGCUUAUUUGAACCGCUUUCUGCGAUUCUCUGUUGCUUGAGUUAGAGGCCUGAAGGAGACUUCACCAGAUCCAGAUUUUGAGACUUAUGGCCACCAUGAAUGUUUAUUCAGAAGUGAAGCAGCACGAUAACGGAAUGCUCACAUAACAUCAAAAGCCUAGUGCUCAUUUGGAGUUAAUCCUGGAGUUUCAUCGCAACAUUGCAGCAACUGAAGCCUUGGUAGUUAGCAGUUAGCAAUUGCUAAUGAAACUAAAGGAAUGAUGGAUUGGUGAACAUGCUCAAAACAUCAUUAAAAGCAAAUGGAUUAGCAAGGAUUUCUCCGAAAAAGAGCUUUGUAUUUCAAGGGCCAUUGGAAUAGUGCAAUCAACCAUCCAGAAGCAGAGAAAGUUUACUGAAAAAAAUCAAUCUUUACAUUGUUAGAUGCUUCUAUAAAUGAUUUUACAUUAUAGACCUA